rnacentral:rRNA from 1 species
UACGAAGGGGGCUAGCGUUGCUCGGAAUUACUGGGGCGUAAAGCGCACGUAGGCGGCUCUUUAAGUCGGGAGGUGAAAUCCUGGAGCUCAACUCCAGAACUGCCUUCGAUACUGAAGAGCUCGAGUCCGGGAGAGGUGAGUGGAACUGCGAGUGUAGAGGUGAAAUCGUAGAUAUUCGCAAGAACACCAGUGGCGAAGGCGGCUCACUGGCCCGGUACUGAACGCUGAGGUGCGAAAGCGUGGGGAGCAAACAGG